AGCUAAUAAUUCUAUACACAUUUACUUGUUUUACUUCCAACGACAGGUCAAGUCGACGGAUGCGAUGUGAUAUACUACCCACGCAGGAGACAAUCACCGAUUGGAGUCGUUAAGCAAUGUGUAUGUUCAACAAGAGCAGUUACAACGACGUUGGUUGAUGGAAUACUGUGUGCGUUUAGACGGGCCGUAAGCUGGACCGGCAUGAAGCUGCUGGAAGUCGGAGUGUGCACAAAAGGCCAAUGUGUAGCCCGACCGCCUGACCGACCAGUACCAUACCAGUUUCAGAAGAAAGAGUGCAAAAUAGGCAACGUGCAAGUUUCUGCGGAGCUUAUUGUGGGAGCUUCUUGUACGGCUACGUGCAGGCGUUUUGAGACAGAACAUCGUCGCAAUGGUACACUAUGCCUCCUGCAAUACACGCGCGAGGAAAAGCUGGUAGGACCAGCGAAGAAGACGUACACUAUCGGCGAGUGCUUUUCUGGGAAAUGCCUCAGAACCAAAAACAGUUGGGACAUUAAACUAUAAUUUUUACCUUUUU
rnacentral:misc_RNA from 1 species